UGCCUUGGCACUAGGAGCCGAUGAAGGACGUGAUAAGCUGCGAUAAGCUUCGGGGAGUUGCACGUAAACUUUGAUCCGAAGAUUUCCGAAUGAGGAAACUCACUUAGAGUAAUGUCUAAGUAUCAUUGAGUGAAUACAUAGCUUAAUGAGGGGAACUCAGGGAACUGAAACAUCUAAGUACCUGAAGGAAGAGAAAGAAAUUCGAUUCCGUAAGUAGCGGCGAGCGAACGCGGAUUAGCCCAAACCAAUAAAGUU
rnacentral:rRNA from 1 species